GGAAGGAUCAUUAACAAAUCUUUGUGUUGUGAUGUGUGUGUACAUUUUGUGUGUACAUUACCGUUACAUUUGUGCUCUGGCGGUAUGCUGGAAUGCACUUUAUAUGUACUUUUGUGUUGUGUGUGAAUGAAAACUAAAUCAAUAUAUACUUUAACAAUGGAUCUCUUGGCUCUUGCAUCGAUGAAGAACGCAGUAAUGUGCGAAAAGUAAUGCGAAUUGCAUACCUCUGCGAGUCAUCUAGUCUUUGAACGCAAAUGGCACUGUCACGACGAGUGAUAGUAUGUCUGUUUGAGAACCAUAUAACCCAUCACCAUUGGUUAAUGGUGGAACUGUUCUAUUAUAUAGAAUGAAAUUUAUGUGUUGCUAGAGUGGCUUGAAGUGUGACAAGUAUAUCAUAUCAAAUCAUUCUUGAUGAUAAUCAUCAAAGCACACAAUCAACAUACCAAAUUAAACGGUCUCAAAUUGGACAAGGUUACCCGCUGAACUUAAGCAUAUCAGUAAGCGGAGGAAAAGAAACUAACAAGGAUUCCCAUAGUAACGGCGAGUGAAGUGGGAAUAGCUCAAAUUUAAAAUCUGGCCUUUGGCCCGAAUUGUAGUCUAAAGAGGUGCCAUCUUGUAUGUGGCGUGCGCACAAGUAUCCUGGAAUGGAUCAUCACAGAGGGUGAGAAUCCCGUUUGGGUGCACGUGACAUGCAUUUAUGAGACACUCUCAAAGAGUCGAGUUGUUUGGGAAUGCAGCUCAAAAUGGGUGGUAAACUUCAUCCAAGGCUAAAUAUUGGCAAGAGACCGAUAGCGAACAAGUACCGUGAGGGAAAGAUGAAAAGCACCUUGAAAAGGGAGUUAAAUAGUGCGUGAAAUUGUUAAAAGGGAAACGCUUGAAGCCAGCAUUGUGCGUGUAUGGAAGUAAGCUGCUAUGUUCUGGAGCUUUAAGCCCUCUUUCAUACCCUUCUCCGACACGUACGAGUCAGGGCCGCUUUGACAUGCCCUAGAAUACAUUGGGAAGGUAGCCACAUUUAGUGGCCUUAUAGCCCAAUGGGAUGUGGUGUGUUGGAGCUGGUAAUGUAGAUAGCCUUGUUUAUGUACCCAUGAUGUUGCAAACUGCAUGCAGAUUGUACUAUACAUGGGUCCAUAUUAAUUGGCCAAAAUACAUGUUCCUGACGAAAUGGCUUUAAACGACCCGUCUUGAAACACGGACCAAGGAGUCUAACAUGUAUGCAAGUGUUUGGGUGGUAAACCCGAGCGCGCAAUAAAAGUGAUAUGCAUGGGAGUAUAAAAUACGCACCAUGGGCCGAUCUUGAUAUCUCUUGAUAGAUUCGAGUCAGAGCAUAAAUGUUGGGACCCGAAAGAUGGUGAACUAUGCCUGGAUAGGAUGAAGCCAGAGGAAACUCUGGUGGAGGUCCGCCGCCGUUCUGACGUGCAAAUCGAUGGUCAAAUUUGGGCAUAGGGGCGAAAGACUAAUCGAACCAUCUAGUAGCUGGUUCCCUC
rnacentral:misc_RNA from 1 species